UACAGAGGUGGCAAGCGUUGUUCGGAAUUACUGGGCGUAAAGGGCGCGUAGGCGGUCUUCUAAGUCUUGUGUGAAAUCCCUCGGCUCAACUGAGGAACUGCACGGGAUACUGGAAGACUUGAGUUCGGGAGAGGGAAGCGGAAUUCCGGGUGUAGCGGUGAAAUGCGUAGAUAUCCGGAGGAACACCGGUGGCGAAGGCGGCUUCCUGGACCGAUCACUGACGCUGAGGCGCGAAAGCUAGGGGAGCAAACGGG
rnacentral:rRNA from 1 species